UGAAUACGAGACGCUAAGGCGUCGAAGUAGUGUAUGUCAUACUUCCAAGAAAAGCUUGCACUGUCAUAGAUAAAAAACGCCUGUACCAUAACCGACACAGGUGGGUAGGUAGAGUAUACUAAGGGGCGCGAGAUAACUCUCUCUAAGGAACUCGGCAAAAUAACUCCGUAACUUCGGGAGAAGGAGUGCCUUAUUCGUAAGGUUGCAAUAACAAGAUCCAAGCAACUGUUUAUCAAAAACACAGGUCUCCGCUAAGUCGUAAGACGAUGUAUGGGGGCUGACGCCUGCCCAGUGCCAGAAGGUUAAAGAAGUUGGUUAGCAAUUGCGAAGCUGAUAACUGAAGCCCUGGUGAACGGCGGCCGUAACCAUAACGGUCCUAAGGUAGCGAAAUUCCUUGUCGGGUAAGUUCCGACCCGCACGAAAGGCGUAAUGAUUUGGAUACUGUCUCGGAGAGGGGCUCGGUGAAAUAGACUUGUCUGUGAAGAUGCGGACUACCUGCACCAGGACAGAAAGACCCUAUGAAGCUUUACUGUAACUUGAAAUUGAAAUUGGACUUUAUUCGCGCAGCAUAGGUGGGAGGCGUUGAUUAUAAUCUUGCGGGAUUAUUGGAGCCAUCAGUGAGAUACCACUCUUGUAAUGUUAGAUUUCUAACUUUGAAUCAUUAUCUGGUCAAAGAACAGUUUCAGGCGGGCAGUUUGACUGGGGCGGUCGCCUCCUAAACGGUAACGGAGGCGUACAAAGGUUUCCUCUGAACGGUUAGAAAUCGUAUCUAGAGUGUAAAGGCAUAAGGAAGCUUGACUGUGAGACCUACAAGUCGAGCAGGGACGAAAGUCGGUCUUAGUGAUCUGACGGUACUGAGUGGAAAGGCCGUCACUCAACGGAUAAAAGUUACUCUAAGGAUAACAGGCUGAUCUCCCCCAAGAGUUCACAUCGACGGGGAGGUUUGGCACCUCGAUGUCGGCUCAUCGCAUCCUGGGGCGGUAGUACGUCCCAAGGGUUGGGCUGUUCGCCCAUGAAAGCGGUACGCGAGCUGGGUUCAGAACGUCGUGAGACAGUUCGGUCCAUAUCCGGUGUAGGCGUUAGAAUAUUGAGAGGAGCCUUCUUUAGUACGAGAGGACCGAGAAGGACAUACCUCUGGUGUACCAGUUAUCGUGCCAACGGUAAACGCUGGGUAGCUAUGUAUGGAGUGGAUAACCGCUGAAAGCAUCUAAGUGGGAAGCCCACCUCAAGAUAAG
rnacentral:rRNA from 1 species